GGGCAAAUGCGGCAGCUUACACAUGCAGUCGAGCGCCCCCUCGGGGGAGCGGCAGACGGGUGAGUAAUGCAUGGGAAUCUACCUAGCUCUACGGAAUAACUCAGGGAAACUUGAACUAAUACCGUAUACGUCCUUCGGGAGAAAGAUUUAUCGGAGUUAGAUGAGCCCAUGUCUGAUUAGCUAGUUGGUGAGGUAAAGGCUCACCAAGGCGACGAUCAGUAGCUGGUCUGAGAGGAUGAUCAGCCACACUGGGACUGAGACACGGCCCAGACUCCUACGGGAGGCAGCAGUGGGGAAUAUUGGACAAUGGGCGCAAGCCUGAUCCAGCCAUGCCGCGUGAGUGAUGAAGGCCCUAGGGUUGUAAAGCUCUUUCACCGGUGAAGAUAAUGACGGUAACCGGAGAAGAAGCCCCGGCUAACUUCGUGCCAGCAGCCGCGGUAAU
rnacentral:rRNA from 1 species